rnacentral:rRNA from 1 species
AUGAAGGGCAUCACAGGGGUCAAGAGCAAGGAGCUCCUCAUCUGGGUCACUGUCUGUGACAUGUACAUCGAUAGGAAUGACCACUCAAAGAUCACGUUCAAACGCCCACAGGACUGGGAAGGACCUUCCCCGUCUCCGCCUACGGAAAGGAGGAUGACAACAAGCACGACGUGGCCAAAUAAGAAACCACGGCCGGCAUAA